rfam:Xenopus tropicalis strain Nigerian Chr04_contig_1897, whole genome shotgun sequence.
UGUUUGUUGUGUGAUGAUUAUUAAGUGAUCCAUCGGCAGAGACUUACCGUGCUGAGAUCCUAAAACCUGACAACAACCA